AGUGUGCCCAGCACACAGCUGAAGCCACAGGCUCCGGCCACAGCCCAGAGCUACCCAGGUUUCUCGGCAUCUGGAUUCCCGUGGGAGGCUGAGGACUAAACUACAACGGAGCAGAUGAAUAACAGCUUGAAAAUGAGCUAAUGUCCAACUACAGCACACCUCUAAAGCCUGGCAUUCUGAUGGUGCCUUGGUAACAGUUAACAGAAGAACAGUUAGUUCCUUUGGAUAAAAGUAUAUACUCUGAAGGACACGCUCAUCGGCCCUUGAACGGCUGAAGAUGACAUUACAGACUUUGCCGUUAUAAUUGCCAGGGAUCUGGGCGGCACACUUCUCUUCGGCUCAAUAAAAAGGCUUAAGUUUUUUUUUUUUUUUUUUUUUUUUUAAGUUUCUUUCUAAAAAUAGCCCAAGAACUCAGUUCUCUUUUUCCUUCUUACAUUCUUGUCCUACUAACUGUGCCACUGAAACAUUUCCUUUCAUUGUUGGCACCUUGGGUCGUUGGGAUUUAAAAAUCAGACAAUACAUAACAACAAAGAAGUCUUUAAAUGCAGCUUUCCAAAUGGAAAAUGGCAUCUAAGGGCAUGCCUUCCUCUAGGCCCACAGAUACUGGAGCCCUGAGGUCUGGGGAACAGCAAAGACACCACCCAUUAGAGUCAGUGCCUUAAAAUCCACAUUCCCAGAGGGGAGAUAAUUUACCCGUUAAUGGAUUAAGAAAUUCCUGUCGGUUCCCUGUCAUAAGCAAGCUGUUUGGCAUGAAGUCAGAGUCCUUGGAAUUAAAACACUUCAAACUUUAGCAAAGGUGAUUAAGACUCAACUCAAAAUAUUUAUUCUAGGUUAAAAUCUUUAGGUUUCUUCAGUCCAAAUUUAAAUUGGCAGCAACGUGUUAAAUCAAGAGCAGAGUCAGGAUUAGGGAAUUCCAUGACCUUUGAUUAAUUGCGAUUACUAAAUCCAUCUUCCAGAGGAUGCGUUCAAUUACUAGCCAAAGGCAUCCUCCUAAAUUUACGUUUAUUUUUUUUAAGAGCUUCUCUUUAGGAGUAGGAGGGUCUGUUUUUAAGGACAACAAUCCUCCUUAAAAAGAAAAAACUCGCCAUCUGCAUAUUUUACAAAAUCACAUUUGACACUCUCAUUAUUUCUGCACAUAAACUUGUAGCUCACGGUAAGUACAAUUCCACAGGAAUUUUUAACAUGUUUUUUCCUCUAAGAGUUAGGUUACCAUUGAAAAUAAAGCUCAUUAACACACCACUCUAUUAACCAAAGAUUUUAACUGGUAAAAUAUAUAAUAAUCCACAGGUUGCUUUUGCAAAGAUAAAAAUAGUAAGAAUCAAAUACUUUCUCCUAGGCAAACUGAGUAAGGCAGGUUUCUUGCAGCAGAAUACGUUUCAGGAAAAAAACCUUUCGGCUCCAUUCUUAGAACACCCUCAAAUACCCAUCCCAGAGUUUCCAGUUUCCCCGAGAGAGAGAAAAAAAAAAUUACUGUGAUAGCAACAUUAGGAAGAUUCAAGGAGAAAAGACCAAAGAACAAAGAUUUCUAAAAAAUCUCAGACAUUCACUCAGUACUUACAAAGUACUUUCAAAGGAAAUCGGAGCUGCAAUUCUUCAGAAGACUGCUCCUGGGAUCACGAACACAAUCUCAGUCUAAAACAGGCUCCUCUCACAUCGGGCGAGAAGUCACAUUUCAGCUUACUAACUUCUACUUGGGUAAACAGUUUUACAACUCAUAGAACAAACCCCAGCUAAAAUUAACUGCACCGGCGAGGCCGGCAGGAACUCGCUGAUCUGCAUCAUGUGUGCGGGGGUUUAUCCAACAGGACAACAUCGGUGUCCUCUUAAUGGGAGAUCUGGCCAAGGGGCGUGCUCUGGGGAACAAUACCGAGCAUCACAAUUAUGCUAAUUACUGAAUUCAGUCCAAGAAUACUAUCUCCUUUUAAGCUGUUUUCGCAAGCACCGACAGAGUAAGCUCUUUUACACAACAGGAGUUCAUUUGAUUUUCAAGCACUUUCAAUCAGACAAAACUUUGGCAACAAGGUGGCAGUGCUGCAUGUUCAGAAAAGACCAAGUAAGAGGACCUUCUGUCAGAUGCUUUACCAGUACUGUGUAAAAAUUAAGCAGGCGUCAAAGACAACACACACCAGUAAGUCUACCAACAAAUAGCCUUAAAUGAGAGCUCUUCUCUCGAUACAACAUGAACGAAUUUUGUUUGUUUCCUGGGUCUGUCUUCUGCAGUGCCCAAGGAGCUGCUCUGAGGGUACGGGUUCACUGAUAAAUUACAACUGAAAACAAACACCUCAAAGAUUCCCGAAAGGCCUCAUCCCUGACAAGAAGCACUUUGAA
ensembl:lncRNA